GCCAAGGACGGUGCAGGGUCUGGGGUAAUACGGAGGGGGCGUGCGUUGUACGGAAGGAUUGGGCGUAAAGCGUUCGCAGGCGGUUUGUCGAGUCGGGAGGGAAAUCGCUGGCCUUAAUUCGGCGCUUGCUUUCGAUACGAGUAGACUAGAGGUAUGCAGGGGGGAACAGAAUUCCUGGUGUAGCGGUGAAAUGCGCAGAUAUCAGGAGGAACACCGGUGGCGAAGGCGGUUCUCUGGGCAUGUCCUGACGCUGAGGAGCGAAAGUGUGGGGAGCGAACAGGAUUAGAUACCCUAGUAGUC
rnacentral:rRNA from 1 species